CGGGCGUUCACCUGAGGGAGCAUGCAACGUGUGCACAAGGACGUGCUGCCAGGUUUCCUUCCAGACCACGCUGAGGGAGCCCCUUCCUGAUGGCCGCUUGAUGAAGCCUCCUGUUGAGGGCAGCUGGUUUCAGUCCCAUCCGCUUACGUUCCUUCAGAAGAGGACAAGUGGCAACUGCUGAGACAGUGCUCUGUUAAUAACCUUAGUCGUGACCAUUUUCUAAGAGGGAACCUAAGAUGGCUGCUGUCACCUAUUUGGUUUUGCACUGGGCCUGAUGCUCCUCCCGACAUCACAUUUGGAUGAAGAAAUGAAGGCUCAGAGAGAUUAAAAGUCUUGAUUAAUUAAGUCGGUAAGGAAGAAGCAGAGGCACAAUUCAAGUUCAAGGGCCCCAACUCCAGAACUAUUGCCCUGUACGAAGUAUGACACCAUUUAUAUUCAGAAGGCCCACUCUACCUCAGUUUGCAACCAAAUACUCAAGAAACUAAAGUAAAAGAUUAAUCAUUGAUGGCAUUUCUACUACCAGAUGUUAAAAUAACACAAUCCAGGUAUUUUGUUUACUAUGACAAAAAUCUUCUUGAAAAAAAUUAAAAUUGGAUGGUUCUAGGAGCCACCUUAUAGAAAUCCUAAUUCAUUUGGUCUGGCCAGGGGCCUACGAAUCUGUAUUUUGUGCCAUACGUCAGGUGAUUCUGAUGGUCGUUCUUGGGCCAUACUUUGAGAAAUACUGCUCUGGAUGAGUAGGUAUCU